rnacentral:rRNA from 1 species
UACGAAGGUGGCAAGCGUUGUUCGGAUUUACUGGGCGUAAAGGGAGCGUAGGUGGUUAGGUAAGCCCUCCGGGAAAUCUUCAGGCUUAACCUGAAAAGGUCGGGGGGGUCUGCCUGGCUAGAGGACGGGAGAGGAGCGCGGAAUUCCCGGUGUAGCGGUGAAAUUCGUAGAUAUCGGGAGGAACACCAGUGGCGAAGGCGGCGAUCUGGGUCGAUACUGACGCUGAGGUGCGAAAGCGUGGGGAGCAAACAGG